AAACAAAAAACAACACAAUGUUAGGACAACUUUUAAUGGUAUUGUUUGCCAGUAUUACAGUUCUUUCUGGUGUGUUUGGAGCAACAUGUGUUACUAAACCUACUUGUGAGAGGACAGACUACACACUACCAUUGUGUGUCAGCGGGACCUGUGCUUGUCUCAACUCAUCGUUUGUACCUAUACGUUCUGGAUGUGCUUUACAGAUGUAUAAGCCUGUUAUAAAGACUGACAUGGCUAGUUCCA
rnacentral:sRNA from 1 species